rnacentral:rRNA from 1 species
AUUGAACGCUGGCGGCGUGCUUAACACAUGCAAGUCGAUCGGUAACGCGGGGGCAACCCUGGCGACGAGAGGCGGACGGGUGAGGAACGCUUGGGAAUCUGCCCUUCAGCGGGGGACAACCCGGGGAAACCCGGGCUAAUACCGCAUACGCUCCACGGAGGAAAGCCGGGGACCGCAAGGCCUGGCACUGAAGGAUGAGCCCAAGUCGGAUUAGCCAGUUGGCGGGGUAACGGCCCACCAAGGCGACGAUCCGUAGCUGGUCUGAGAGGACGAUCAGCCACACUGGGACUGAGACACGGCCCAGACUCCUACGGGAGGCAGCAGUGGGGAAUAUUGGACAAUGGGCGAAAGCCUGAUCCAGCCAUGCCGCGUGUGUGAAGAAGGCCUUUUGGUUGUAAAGCACUUUAAGCGAGGAGGAGGCUACCGAGAUUAAUACUCUUGGAUAGUGGACGUUACUCGCAGAAUAAGCACCGGCUAACUCUGUGCCAGCAGCCGCCGUAAAAC